GAGGCCGCGACCGAUCAGGUUGUUGGUGAGGUAAUGGCUCACCAAGCCUUUUACCGGUGCGGGCCGUGAGAGCGGAAGCCCGGAGAUGGGCACUGAGACAAGGGCCCAGGCCCUACGGGGCGCAGCAGUCGCGAAAACUUUGCAAUACACGAAAGUGUGACAGGGCUAUCCCGAGUGCCAUCCGCUGAGGAAGGCUUUUACCCAGUCUAAAACGCUGGGGGAAUAAGGAGAGGGCAAGUCUGGUGUCAGCCGCCGCGGUAAUACCAGCUCUCCGAGUGGUGUGGAUGUUUAUUGGGCCUAAAGCAUCCGUAGCUGGCUAAGUUAGUCCCUUGUUAAAUCCACCGAAUUAAUCGUUGGAUUGCGGGGGAUACUGCUUGGCUAGGGGACGAGAGAGGCAGACGGUAUUUCCGGGGUAGGGGUGAAAUCCUAUAAUCCCGGGAAGACCACCAGUGGCGAAGGCUGUCUGCUAGAACGCGCCCGACGGUGAGGGAUGAAAGCUGGGGGAGCGAACCGGAUUAGAUACCCGGGUAGUCCCAGCUGUAAACGAUGCAGGCUAGGUUUUGGACGGCCACGUGCCGUUCUAGUGCCGCAGGGAAGCUGUUAAGCCUGCCGCCUGGGGAGUACGAUCGCAAGAUUGAAACUUAAAGGAAUCGGCGGGGGAGCACCACAAGGGGUGAAGCUUGCGGUUUAAUUGGAGCAACGCCGGAAAUCUCACCGGGAGCGACAGCAGUAUGAAGGCCAGAUUAAAGGUCUUGCUAGACGAGCUGAGAGGAGGUGCAUGGCCGUCGCCAGUUCGUGCCGUGAGGUGUCCUGUUAAGUCAGGCAACGAUCGAGACCCGCGUCCUCUGUUGCAACUAGCCUUGUGCUGGGCACACUGAGGAGACCGCCACUGAUAAAGUGGAGGAAGGAGCGGGCCACGGCAGGUCAGUAUGCCCCGAAUCUCCCGGGCCACACGCGAGCUGCAAUGGCAGGUACAAUGGGUUCCGACCUCGAAAGGGGAAGGCAAUCUCGAAAGCCUGCCGUAGUUGGGAUCGAGGGCUGAAACCCGCCCUCGUGAACAUGGAAUCCCUAGUAAUCGCGUGUCAUUAGCGCGCGGUGAAUACGUCCCUGCUCCUCGCACACACCGCCCGUCGUUCCAUCCGAGCGACUCUUGGGUGAGGCGCCGUCUUUCAUGGCGGCGUCGAAUCUAAGUUUCGUAAGGAGGGAAAAGUCGUAACAAGGUG
rnacentral:rRNA from 1 species